rnacentral:rRNA from 1 species
CGACGCCGCGUGUGGGAUGACGGCCUUCGGGUUGUAAACCACUUUUGCCGGGGAAGAAGCAAGUGACGGUACCCGGUGAAUAAGCCCCGGCUAACUACGUGC